rnacentral:rRNA from 1 species
ACGUAGGGCGCGAGCGUUGUCCGGAAUUAUUGGGCGUAAAGAGCUCGUAGGCGGUUUGUUGCGUCUGCCGUGAAAACCCGAGGCUUAACCUCGUGGCUUGCGGUGGAUACGGGCAGACUUGAGGUAGGCAGGGGGGAAUGGAAUUCCCGGUGUAGCGGUGAAAUGCGCAGAUAUCGGGAGGAACACCGGUGGCGAAGGCGGUUCUCUGGGCCUUGCCUGACGCUGAGGCACGAAAGCCAGGGGAGCAAACGGGA